CGCUGGCCUGGGCCAUCGCGCAGCUCGGCUGGGUCGCCGGACCCGCCGCCAUGCUGCUGUUCGCAUUCGUCACCUACUACACCGCCACGCUGCUCGCCGAGUGCUACCGUACCGGCGACCCGGAGACCGGGAAGCGCAACUACACCUACAUGGACGCCGUGCGCUCCAACCUCGGCGGCGCCAAGGUGGUGUUUUGCGGUGUUAUCCAGUACGCCAACCUCGUCGGCGUCGCCAUCGGCUACACCAUCGCGUCGUCAAUCAGCAUGAGGGCCAUCAGGAGAGCCGAUUGCUUCCACACCAACGGGCACGCCGACCCGUGCAAGAGCUCGAGCACACCGUACAUGAUCCUCUUCGGCGUUGUGCAGAUCCUCUUCUCGCAGAUACCCGACUUUGAUCAGAUAUGGUGGCUCUCCAUCGUCGCCGCCGUCAUGUCCUUCACCUAUUCUUCCAUCGGACUCUCCCUCGGCAUCGCACAAACAAUUUGUAAGUUCUUGAUCAUCUGUUCAAGACAUGCAAUUUUGCAUGAUUGAUCGAUGCUAAAUUACUGACAUGAGCUCGAUCGGUUGUUGGAAUUGCAGCUAAUGGAGGGUUCAAGGGAAGCCUUACCGGCAUCAGCAUCGGAGCCGACGUCACCUCCACACAGAAAAUCUGGCACAGCCUGCAGGCCUUCGGCGACAUCGCCUUCGCCUACUCCUUCUCCAACAUCCUCAUCGAGAUCCAAGUAAGCAAUCUACUGCUCUACUGCUCUGUUCUCUUCAACUCGAUUCCUCUGUUUCUAAUAACCAAAGCUAAUCUGAUUCUUCAGGACACAAUCAAGGCACCACCACCGUCGGAAGCGAAGGUGAUGCAGAAGGCCACCCGCCUGAGCGUGGCGACGACCACCAUUUUCUACAUGCUGUGCGGGUGCAUGGGAUACGCGGCGUUCGGCGACGAGGCCCCGGACAACCUGCUCACGGGGUUCGGCUUCUACGAGCCCUUCUGGCUGCUGGACAUCGCCAACGUCGCCAUCGUCGUGCACCUCGUCGGCGCCUACCAGGUGUUCUGCCAGCCCAUCUUCGCCUUCGUCGAGCGCCGCGCCGUCGCCGCCUGGCCGGACAGCGCCUUCAUCUCCCGGGAGCUCCGCGUGGGCCCCUUCGCGCUCAGCGUGUUCCGGCUCACGUGGCGGUCGGCGUUCGUGUGCGUCACCACCGUCGUCGCCAUGCUCCUCCCCUUCUUCGGCAACGUCGUCGGCUUCCUGGGCGCCGUCUCCUUCUGGCCGCUCACCGUCUACUUCCCCGUCGAGAUGUACAUCAAGCAGCGCCGCGUGCCGCGCGGCAGCACCAAGUGGAUCUGCCUGCAGACGCUCAGCAUCACCUGCCUCCUCGUCUCCAUCGCCGCCGCGGCCGGUUCCAUCGCCGACGUGAUCGACGCCCUUAAGGUCUACCGGCCGUUCAGCGGUUAACUUGACAGAAGAAUCUCAAGCAACUACUGCACACUAAAAUCACCGGACUGUUUGCGCAUACCAAGAGUAGCGAGUGGCGGGGCGACGUGCCGCGUAUUCCUCCAGUACAUGGUUCCACUAGGCAGGAUGAUCUUGUUCUACCUGCAACUAUGUCUUGCUAACUUUUUCCAUAGAUUAGAUAUGUUCCACACUAGAUUAGCAGUAAGCUGCAAGUGAAAUAAUUUUGGCCGCUCGUCAUGUAUGAUUGAGAGAGACUCUGAUUUUUAUUGUUUUCCUUUUUUGGUGUGGGCGCCAGCUUGAAACCUGCAAAAAGGUUUUUCUUAUGCUCCCGAUCGAUAUUCGUUCAAAAGUUGAAAUUCAGUCUUAUAACUUUAUACAGCUACAAAAUAGGGCCUGCUAUACAGUAGUUCAUAUGAAUUUAGGAUUUAAUAAUCUUUAAAAGUACGUAAUCUUUAGAAUUUGCCUGGCAGCUCCAAGCGCCCUCAUUUUUUUUUAAUCCUAGACUACACUACACAAGGCCGUUCAUUAUUACAAGCCAAAUGGAAAAGCACAAAAUUACAAAAUUCACACCUUGUAAACACCAAGACAAGAUAAAUGUUUCAAACACAUAUCUUGUUACUAAACCUUCAUCCAUGCUUGGUAAAGAUGUUCAUCAUCAUGGCUUCAAAAUUUUGGCACGCCGUGGUCAAGUGAUGGUGUUCCUCCUUUUUUGCAGCAAGGACCAAAAGUGACUAUUUAGCCGCUUGUCAUGUAUGAAUGAGCCUCUGAUAUUUUUUUUUUUUGUGGACGCGUCAGCUUGAAACUCCAAUAAGGAUUUCUUUGGCUUCCGAUCAAUACCCGUUCCAAAAUCUAAGAAACUUUCAAGAACUUUGGGCCUUAUACUCCAUGCAUUCAUCUUUUAUGGCACAUUUUUACGAUCUAAAGUUCACUCUUUGAUCAGCAAUUAUAUGUAUGAGUCGAAUAAUAAUAUGUGAGUUAUGUCAUAUUCAAAAGCCGUUCCUUAUGAUUAUGAUUUUUUAACUUUAUAAAAUACAAUAGAAAAGAACUUAUUGUCAAAGAUAGAUUCUGGACUGUCAAAGAGGGCAUUAUAUUCUUCCAUGACUAUGACAUAUAAGGUGCUAAAUUACGUAUUUGUUCUUUACUUGAUCAGCUCAUAUGCUCAGAUCACAUUUUUUUAGGACUUGAACAUAUUCUUUUAUUACUUAUAUGAUUGAAUCAUGUGAUGCCUUCGAAGAUAAAUGCAUGCCAAUAAUGCAAGUUGGCGUGACCUUUUUUUUUUGACGAAUCGACCUUGUGGCAUCAUCUUUUUCCUAGGAAAGCGACUAUAUAUGCUAUACAACAAAUUUGAAGUGCAAAGUUCCAAAUCAUUUCUUUACAAAACUUGUCUGCACCUUGGCACUAAUCGAUCGAUAGACUUUAACUAUAUUCUCGGCAGUUUUCUUGGACCUUGAUGAUCUGUCAAAAAGUAUCUAUCCAUAAGAAAAGUUUGUGUGCUUGUUAUGCUUCCACACAUGUUGUUCCUUUUGUAUAUUGUACGUAUCCCAUUCGCACGUGGUUUCUUUGUACGUAUAUUGUAUCGCAUUUGGAUUUAAGAACAGAGGGAGACUAACUGACCAAGCUGUGUGCAUCAUGAACUAGGGUAGAGCCUCAAUGUGUCUAUAUGGAUAUAUUUCUUAAGUGCGCAUUCAGAUUACAUAAUAAACUUCCUGCCUUCACCAAAAAUAUAAAAGGUGGUACUGGAUAUUGAGAUCCUAACGAAACAUUUUGUUAUUAGCAUGUUUACACUGGACAAUGUACAUGCACAAUCAUACUCAUAUGAUUUCAAAAAAUAAAAAAGAUUAGAGCUAUAAAAAAAGGUGGUACUGGAUAUUGAGAUCCUAACGAAACCUUUUGUUAUCAGCAUGUUUACAUUGGACAAUGUACAUGCACAAUCAUACUCAUAUGAUUUCAAAAAAUAAAAAAGAUUAGAGCUAGCUGCACGCAGUUUGGCAGGUUUGUAGAGCGUGCAAACUUUAGGUUGCUGGUGGACGUUUAUUCGACAUUUUGUAGGAAAAAAUGUAUCCAUCGAUUGAUCGAUUGAUUGAUUGAAGAUGCGCAUGAGGAAUUGGUUAUGUCCAUUAAUUUGUUAUCCUUUGUCAGUCUCUCGACAAGUCCAAAAGUGCUUUGAUUCCAGUUAGUUUAGUUCAUGAAGCAAUUAUAUACGUGCAUGCGGCUAUGAGCUAGUAGUAGCCUUCUGUGACGAGUUGCUUGGAACUUUGCAUUGGACAACGAUGCGUUUGAAGUACUGGGACAUGCACUAGUAGACAUCAAUUAUUGGGUGCAUUUCCUUGCUCAUAUGGUCAAUGUCGAUGUCAGAUACGUGUGGCGCGACUUCACUUGAAAACGGGAGGGAUAGUUUGGUUGUUUCAACUGAUUAUUCGUCAGAAGGUAAGAGAGUAGUAGCAGUAGUAGUAGAAGUUAGCCAUGUAGCCGACUUCAAGCAAAUUAAACAAAGUGUUGGUGGCAUUGGCUUAAUUAUAUUGACCUAAGUGUUGUUUGGCUGCUUUUUUAUGGGCACACAGGUGGUACUUGAACUGUUAGCUGUAGAUGCCCCCGAAACUGAGAAAUUCAGACGCCUGGAAGAGAUAUUACUCGGAGCACUAACCGCAACUCUGCAAGUAGCUAGUGAUCCAAGAGCUUUCCUCGAGUGGAUCGAUCGAUCAUUUACACCUCGAUCGAUGUUGAACCACAUUCUGCCUAUCUCGUUCAGGUCGACUGUGACUAGAGGAUUGAGCAAUCGGCCGGGCACGCCGGUGGAGUGGGCACGGUCCUUUCAUCUUCCACCUCCGAUCCUGGACCUCAAGUGAAGUGGACGGGCGGGCAUGCUUGGAUAGUUGGAUAAUGGAUAUGGCCGCAUCUACAAGGAAGCAGGCCGUUGUGUUCCACCGCGAUAGAUGCAUUCGUGCGUGGCGUGCCGACUGCGGACGGCCGCCGCAUCCGAUCCGUCUGUGGCGUUUGGAAUCAAGAGUUUUUUUUUUUGAAAAUAAUUGGAAUCAGGAGUCGCUGCAGCGUUUCCCUCCCUCGUUUUCUCGUCUCCGAAGGAGACUUGCUCUUCUCUCUUACUAGAACAGAGUACGUGCAGAGAUGCUGGUACUGGCCGGCCGGCCGUGCGCUCCCCCACCUGAACCUGAUCGAGGGAUGAGGAUUGGAGGAAGAAGAAAGAAAUGCGUCGUCCGUGUCCAUGUGAUGCGAUCCCCGGGGCCCGGCUCUUGCGCCGCGUGACGCGCAGGCAAGUCCUUUGGUCGCCACUUGGAACCCCUCAAAAUUCCAACUUGAAGACUAUGCAAAAAGAAAAUUCUCCAUCACAUCAAACUUGUGGUACAUGCAUGGAGUACUAAAUGUAGACGAAAUAAAAAAUUAAUUGCACAGUUUUGUUGUACUUUGCGAGACGAAUCUUUUGAGCCUAAUUAGUCAAUAUUUGGACAAAAUUCACAAAUACAAACGAAACGCUACCGUUGCGCUACAGUAAUUUUGGUUGUUCAAAGUUGGGCAACCUAGGUGUCACUCAGGGAGAUGCCAUGCAUGCAUGCGUGGCCCGAAAUAUAAUGGCAGGUCUCGCUGUCGGCACGCGUGCAGUGGGGCCUCGGCGUCUCCGUCUGCCUGCGCGUUGGGCACACUCGGCAGCGCGUACCCGCUGCACUGCAGCCGUGUCGUGUGGCCCUGGCUAGCUGCUAGCGACAGGAGAGGCAGCAGCGAGCGAGCAGGGGGCACCACACUCACCACGAUCCGAUCGGAUCCACCGCUCGCCGAAUCACAGCAGGACAGGCACACGAACACUAAAACAUUCUGCAUAUCCAGUGCGUGCAUGCAGGUAGAGGUAGGCCACGGUUUGACCUGCUUCCGUUUCGCCUCACCUCUGCAUAUGCAGGGCCUGUUUAUUUCCUCAAAAUUCUAAUUUUGACACUAUGCAAAAAGAAAAUUCAACAUCACAUCAAACUUGCGGUACAUGCAUGGAGUACUAAAUGUAGAUGAAAUCAAAAACUAAUUGCACAGUUUUGUUGUACUUUACGAGACGAAUCUUUUGAGCCUAAUUAGUCAAUGUUUGGACAAUAAUUCACAAAUACAAACGAAAUGCUACAGUUGUGCAUUUAUGGCAAAAUGUCAAUUUUACCACUCCUAAAUUGGGAACUAAACAGGGCGGAGGAUCGAGUUGACUGCAGUAGUACGUACAGUACGUGACUUUAUUUUGAAAUCCAGGCUGAUCAUAUCCGCUCCUCACCAGCAUGACUGCUGCUCAACCACAGCCUGGGUGCCUGCACGCGGUGUUGCACUGUUGGGGAAGAUGCAUGUAGGCGAGCCAAGCCAUGUUAAAAAAACAGAGGAUAUUUUAUCUGUAGGACGACACUGCGAAAUUAUGAUUUAUCUCAUUGAAUUUGUUUGAUGGACACUGCAAUUUUGUGAUUUUGUCUACAAGACACUACACCAAAUAAAAUAAUCAUUUGGAAGAGAGAGGGUGAGUAAAAAGACUUUGUUGCCCAUGACUUUCUUCUUCCUCUAAUCGGAAGGACAGAGACAUAUGCACUUGCAGCGCUGUGGUCUCCUGCUGGCCUCUUCCUUGCCGGCUGCUGCUCAGCUUGUCUACCAAGCACCGCGAGCCAGUCUCUCCUCCAAUGAUCCUCUCUCCAAGUCUUCUCCAUUUGAAGCGCCAGCGGAGUAUUGCGUGGAGGUCACCACCACCAAGGUGUGCCCAGGGACGCGGAGGGGAAUGGACGGGCAUCGCAUGGAGCAUGGGACUUGUCGAGCGUAUGCAGGAUGCAGCGACCUCUCCUCGCCUUCGCCGUCCCGCAGGGCCGGCCGCACCCCGUGAUGCCGCUCCACGUGAUGCUCCAAAUGGCCCUAAAAAAAAAACUUGAUCCGUCCAUCGACUUGCACGUCUUCUCUUUCUCCUCUCCCAUCGUCUGGACUAUAUAUCUUGACGACCACGAGAUUAUUCAGGACAGCAUCGUCCCACUAGGGUGUGUUUGGUUGGUUGUAUCAUUUGAUUCAUGUAUGAAAUGAUUCAAAAUAAUAAUGAUCCUUUUGUUUGGUUGGGUGAACUGUACCAGCUCAUCCAGGAUGAGACCAUCCCACUUAAUACAUUAUUCUACUAAUUAGAGUGAACCAUAUGGUACAAGCAAAUUGGUCGAACCACCCCAUCCAGGAUCAUCCAUACCUGCAUCAUGUGGUGCAUGCAACCAAACACACACCUAGUUAAUUCAGAGGUACAGGUCGUCGGCACGCGCGCAGGCAGACUGGACGGGAGAAGAGACGAAUCACAAACUGUUCCAAACCAUACCAUCGCAGCAUCAAGCCUCCACCAAUGAUUACUGUUUAGCUCACUCAUAAAAUAUUUGUCAUAUUUUAAUAGGAGAGAGAAGAGCUAUCUCUUGAUCAAGAGAUAGUUCCGUACAUGCACUUCAAAAUUAUGUGGGGUUAUUCAUAUCAUAAAUUACGUGCUACAAGCUAGAUAAUUGUAAGGUUAUUUUUUAAAGUGCUUAGAGCUGGAUACUAGUUGGUACCAUCGGAGGAGGUCUCAGGAAUUAAUUGUUAGAGAUAGAUUGAUUGAUCAGGGCAUCACGCUACUGCAGUGAUGGAUGCCCUCACGGACAACGGAGGUCGUGGCAACGACCAGCACCAGCUGCUGCGAGAAACUCUGUCUGACCACGGAGGCCACCUUUUUGACUUGCCACCCGUGCCACCAAUCCCUCUCCCGCCUACUUCGAGGAUGAAGCGAGCCGGAUCUUCGCCAGUAAAAUCCGACUUCGUGUAUCCUCCCGUAUCCUUAUGGUGGGUAUAAGUAGUUAUCAUAUACAGAACUCAUUUCAGUAUAAUAUCAUAUUCAUACCAUACAAUAAUAUUUAUUACAUCUAAGAAUAUAAGAGUACGAUCUGGUACAAGCUCCUUUGACUUAACGACAAGAAUAAAGCCAAUGUGGCAAUAACUAACUUCUGGAAGCAUCUCCAUCUUCUCGAUCAACUCCACAGGCAUCUUGAGCAUAGCAUCACGACCUUCAGUCGUACCACCCAUCGUGGUUGUUAUCGAAGUUGGACUCGUAACUUGCAAACUCACGAGCUAUUCCCAAGAAAUAAGACAGGUCCACGUCACCAUCCGUAUAUAGUGCAAAUUUUAAGUGGCCUAAUACUAGUAUAAAAAAUAGUCAAGAAAUAGGCUCGAGUUUCCUAUGUAGCAGCAAGCAUAAAGAAUAAACUUCCAUAACCAUCAACCCAUCUCUCAUCACAUCGGGAGCACCUGCCUCGACAGGAUCCCUAUCACCAUCAUCCUAUCUCCGAACUAGGGUCAACGCAAAGACUCCCUUGGGUUGUGUAAAGCUCACCCCCGCCAAGUAUCCAAAAACACCUUCUCCUGCCGGUUUUAUCCCACUCACGCCAAGAAUCCUGAUCACGAUAUCCCAUACACAUGCAAGCAUAGCACAACGUAUACACACGCGUAUAUGGUAUAGUAGUUCGAAAGUCAAGGUAUAAGGCAUAAAAUAAGGUUGUGCAGGGUUCAUCAUCAUCAUGCGAGAAAUAAAAAGCUAGCAUACUAAUUAAGCAAUGCCUAAUGGGUAUUCAAGUCGGAAUGGGCAUGAACCUGAGUAGUCUUCCUCCUCGUAGUAGUCUUCGUAUGGCUCCGGCUCCGAAUUCAGCUCCGAGUCCCCGACAGCUCCUAUUUAUGCAAUUACCAUAAUUACAGAGGGUCUAAUUGCAAAGAAAACCCAAAAGAGACCUAAGGAAGACCCAAACAAGAACAAGAUCUAGUCCAUCGUGUGCUUCAUUAUUUUAGAAAAAUUAUGAAACCGGUUUCAUAUUUUUUGGAGUUAAAAUAAAUUAGUUAUAAAUUUUUGAAGUUUAAAUCAACUUCUGGAAUUUUGAAAUAAUUGACGAAAAUCAGAAUAGACCCGAGAGCGACACGUGGCAGCAUCAAAGUGCGCCACAUGUCUUGUUGAUGUCAGCAGUGGGGUCGGGUGACGUCAGUGUUGACCUGGUCAACGGUAAACGGUUAGCGGGUCAAAGUCAACGGUCAGUGUUGACUGAUCAACGGGCCCUGGUUAGUGGGUCCCACGUGCUCGACGAAUUGCCCCAAAGGCAAUCCGUGUCGGCAGCGUGCGGCUGCGCUGCUCAGCUAAGUCCGGCGAGGCUCGGGCUACUUCGACAAGCCCCCAAUGACCCAAGGCUUGACCUCUGGUCACCUCUUGACAGUGGCGUGGUGUGCGGUAAGGGGUGGCAACGGCGGCGAGCUGUGGUUCAAGGUGGCUCAGAGCGCGAUGUAAAGGAGCGGCCUUUGGUCGGGUUUCGGCGAUGGUGCGGGCAUAGCGUGCGUGUGUUCCCGAUGAGGCGUCCACGGCAGAGGUGUCGGAAGCGAGGCAGCGGAGCAAGGCUGUGUCGGCGGCGAGGCAGCGGGAUGAGGGAAGGAUAAGCUGGAAAGAAAACAAAUAGGUAAUUGUAGUUCUAAGUCGAGCGCUGACUUCAACUCCGAGGUCAUGAAUAAUGCUCCUAGCAUCUCAACUGAUGAAGCCUAUGCUCUGCAGUGCGAUGGCGAAGUGUCAAGACAACGUGAGUCACGACCGUUGUAGUUGCAGUCUUACAUUAAGACCAAAACUAAUCAUUCACGUUAGGGGAAAAGGAAGGGCAUUAUCCAUGUGUAUAUAGUAGUACGUACUACCCCAACCAGCAUUAGGAGACGUGCAGCUCCACCGGAAAAUCGAGAACAAUGCAACAAUUUGCAUGCAUAUUGUUGAUUACCGGUGCGGUAUUGCUAGCUGCUACUCUGUUCUAGUAGGAAAUAAACGUGCGAGUUCUCCGCUGAAGCUAAUCAGGUUCAAGCUCAGUGCCUACUUCCACUCACUCUCGGUGCAGCUUAUUGGCUAGUACUAGUAAUGUAGCACAAUCAGUCCGUUAUCCAGCUAGUAAUAAUCAUGAGAAGCUUGAAAUAUUUAACCCGCAAAUAAAGAGCGCCCAGAAAGCGCGGGGAUGGCAGGAAAAAGGCGCGAGGGAGCUGAGUGCGCCGCUGAGUUCUCAAGCAGUCGGCAUCGACGCGCCAACAUCCGACGACCCCAAGUGAAGUGACGGCGGUGAAAGUGAUCGAGACGCAUGCACGCGCUGAUGACACGCACCAACACCUUAGCCAUCGACCUCCACUUGAGACUUGACUUCUCUCAAGAACAAACUUAUUUGGAGAGAAAUUUCUGAAGAAUAAAAGGACAAUAAUACUCGUGAGUUAGAAGAUACCAGUGGACCGCAUCCUGAAGAUUUAAUUUCGGCUCAUCUAAACAAAGCCCAAAAAUUGCAGAAAUAUCUGUCUUUGCAGACUUUCCACAUCGGCGAUAAAUUGUUGAGCUCAAUUUGCCGAUUUCAUUCCAAAUCCAAAGGAGCAAUAAGGGAACCGUAAAGCCACUUGUUUUACAACUUGCUCCACCACCUCACCAUUUCAUGCCUAGAGUAUCCAGGAAUAUAAAAAAGAGUAUGCGCUAGAGAUGCUCUAGUAGGUAAACUGUAAAAGUGUAAAGUGUAAAGGGUAAAUUGUUUAAGAUAUCCUAUAUACCGCUGAACGUGCGAAAAAUAUUCGCUGAAUAAGACUGCCAACAAUUAUCGCAUAGCGCAUGAUGCGGCACCUUGGUUCCCAUGCAUCCAGCAACUGAUUAACAAGUCUGGCGUGUAAUCCGUGCAAAUGUUUUUACUGUAAUCACGUACUAUUUUAAACCUGAGUGAAACCCACUAUCGGUAUUAUUUUCCUGCUUGUGCUUAAGUAAAAGGGAUAACAAUUAACAAAUUGACGAUAAGAUGUCUUGUACUCCUGUUCUAUUAGCUGAGUCACAAGUAAGCUGAGACGAUAACAUGUCUUGCUCUGUGCCAUCACACGGAAUCCUUUUAGCUGUUUGGCUGUAACGUGGGAUGAAAACAAUCGGAAAUGAGAGUUAUCGGUACAAGUCUUCCAUCUCCCGAUUCCCGAAGUCAAAUACUUUUCUGCUCCUGAGCUCGGCAAUGGCGGCCGCUCAAGGACUGCCGGAGGAGGAAUCAGGGUGUGUUUCCACGUCGUAAAGUUUAGCACCUACCACAUCGGAUGUGUGGAUACUAAUUAGGAGUAUUAAAUAUAUGCUAAUUAUAAAACUAAUCGUACAGAUGGAGUCUAAUUCGCUCGCGAGACGAAUCUAUUAAACCUAAUUAAUCCAUGAUUUGAUCAUGUGGUGCUGCAGUAACCAUUUGCUAAUGAUGGAUUAAUUAGUCUUAAUAGAUUCAUUGUCACGAAUUAGCCUAAGGAUUAUGCAAUUAGUUUAUAAUUAGCUCAUGUUUAAUUCUCUAAUUAGCAUCCGAUGUAACACGUGCUAAAGUUUAGCACUCCAAACAUCCCCUUAGCACCAGGGGUCACGUCAGCUGCCAAUGCGAGGGGCGGUGUCAACGGCUGGCGCUGCCUCACGCGUUCGCGCUCCCUCGACGCCUUCUGAGCGCCGGCAGUGGAGCACAAUGCCUCGUGGCCUGGGAACAAGUUUGUGUGCCACGCGAGCUGGGUGGCCUGGGCCUGGAAAACCUGAGCAUUCAGAACCAGUGCCUCCUAACCAAGCUGCUGCAUCGCCUCUUCCACCCAGGCGUCGGCACAUCAACUUGGUCACUCUGGAAGGAAUACCCGGUUAGUUGGGAAUUUACCAUAUUUUCUAAAUCAACUAUUAUAUGAGAAAUGUAACGUAGAGUGAAAACAAAUAGAAAUAGCAAGUUUUAUGUUUGAGUAGAAUCGGAAAGGUCAGAAACGAAAUCAUUUUUCUGGAAACGAAGCUCCAUCGGUCUAGAAUUUCCAUCACUAUUGUCCGCUCGCGGAAAGUGGCAACCCUCCACGGCAAGGCUGCACGGAGGGUGUUUUGUAGCCCUCCUGCACGGAAUUUUUUUCCACGCAACCCACCACGACUUCGCUCCUGUCUGGCGGUGUUGCACACUCUAGGCUCCACCGCCAACUGCUUCGUCCCUGGUGCGUUGCACCGCCCCCACAUCGCUCCCACGGCAUCUCUCCAAGCUGUGGCCGUCAUGCUGCUCUCCUGCCGGUCCGGCCACGCUGCGCGAAGCCACCUUCUCCCUGCUCCAUGCCCGCCUCCCCGCGGCUCUCCAAGCUCCGGCCAGUCGCGCCGCUCUCUUGUUGCUCUGGCUGGGCCACGCAACGCCCCCAUCUUUUUACUCCAUCCCUGUCGUCGCUGCCGCCCCUCACCUCCAUGGGUGCACCAUCGCCCUUCCCCGCCAGCGUGGGCUGCUGCUCCUCUUCCCCUGUACGAGCCAUCGAUGAGCAUCAUCACGACAGGGCAUUUUCGCCAAGAACAACGGGAGGUGAGGGUGAAGUCGGGGGGAGCCACUUUUUUCCGCUCCGCCUCCACCGAAUGGCUCUAGUCAACGGGAAUUGAGGAGCUUCUCCAUCGAAGCCGUUUGUUGGCUCUAGCUAAAGAGACCCUUAGCGAUUGUAAUGUAAAAGUUACUUCCUCCAUCUUGACCUGACAAGACCUCUUAAACAUUUUAGGACAUAUUAGCAUGAGUAGCAAAAGAUGCUUGUACCCCUAAAUUAAUAGUAGUUGCAGAUAACAAGGAACUUAUUUUUAGUAAUAAUCCACAAAUCAGCCAUCCUUAUUUUGUCAAUUAUAGAAAAAAUUAUAUGGCAAUCAUCCGAAGGUGGCUAGAAUGCUUCCAUUUUGUUAAAAAAGUUUCUAGUCUUAUUGUACUUUUCCCUUCACGCAGAAGGCUCCGGCGUGCACUGAAAAAGCCAAAUAAAUUCGACGGAUCAGGUUCCCUACUAGUACUAAUAAUGUACUGAUACAUUGAAUGAAUUCGAUCGAAUAACACCAAUUCGGCGGGAGUAUUUUAGGAGCACCUAAUAUACCGUGGGGAGUACGCGGCGUGAACUCAAAACCAUUUUGUGCAGCCAGCCACAUGCAUCCAAAAGAUCCAUGACAGUCUCACAACUCACCACUCUCACGACUCACGAGCGCUUGUUUUUUUCUCUCCGGGCAUCUUGAAAAUAUUUUUAAGCAACCUCCUCACCAUGACCUGACGUCCUGACCUCGCAGGCAUCGUCUCCUGCAGCCCAAAGCCAACGCAAAGCUCCAACCAGCAGGAUAGAGGAGCGUCGUAUUCACUCAUUUCGGUUUUCAUUUUUGCCGCUCAAAACAAAGUGAGAAAAGAAAGGGAAUUUACCAAGGACAGAGACGCUGACCGGCCGUCCAACGCGCUGUGAGAGAUACAGCACUCCUCUGCCUCCCCUGCCAUCACACUAUAUAUAAAGCAGCCUCGUCGCUGAUCUCCUCCGCCAUCACACACCACCGCUCACCUCGCCUCAGCCUCACACAUCACAGCCUCGGUCACUCGCAGACAAGAACCCAAGCCUCGCCCUCGGCAUCGCUGAAAUAAUUCAUGGCGUCGCACCACGGCCCCAAGCACGUGGCGCCGAUGGAGGUGUCGGUGGAGGCCGGGAACGGUGGCGCCGCCGAGUGGCUCGACGACGACGGCCGCCCGCGCCGCACGGGCACGGUCUGGACGGCCAGCGCCCACAUCAUCACCGCCGUCAUCGGCUCCGGCGUGCUCUCCCUCGCAUGGGCCAUCGCGCAGCUCGGCUGGGUCGCCGGCCCCGCCGCCAUGCUCCUCUUCGCCUUCGUCACCUACUACACCGCCACGCUGCUCGCCGAGUGCUACCGCACCGGCGAUCCCGACACGGGGAAGCGCAACUACACCUACAUGGACGCCGUGCGCUCCAACCUCGGCGGCGCCAAGGUGGCCUUCUGCGGCAUCAUCCAGUACGCUAACCUCGUCGGCGUCGCCAUCGGCUACACCAUCGCCUCCUCCAUCAGCAUGCAGGCCAUCAGGAGGGCCGGCUGCUUCCACAAGAAUGGGCACGGCGUCCCGUGCAAGAGCUCCAGCAACCCAUACAUGAUCCUCUUCGGUAUCACGCAGAUCCUCUU
rnacentral:lncRNA from 1 species